UCAUUCGCAAUGGGCGAAAGCCUGACGAUGCGACGCCGUGUGGACGAUGAAGGCCUUCGGGUUGUAAAGUCCUUUCGCCAGGGAACAAGAGAGAGUAACUAAUAUUUACUCGAUUUGAGCGUACCUGGUAAAGAAGCACCGGCUAACUCCGUGCCAGCAGCUGCGGUAAUACGGAGGGUGCAAGCAUUAAUCGGAUUUAUUGGGUGUAAAGAGCGUGUAGGCGGAUUGGUAAGUCAGAUGUGAAAUUUCGGAGCUCAACUUCGAAGCUGCAUUUGAAACUACUUGUCUUGAGGGUAGACGGAGAAAACGGAAUUCCAAGUGUAGCGGUGAAAUGCGUAGAUAUUUGGAAGAACACCGGUGGCGAAAGCGGUUUUUUAGUUUAUUCCUGACG
rnacentral:rRNA from 1 species